CCUACGGGGGGCAGCAGUGGGGAAUAUUGGACAAUGGGGGGAACCCUGAUCCAGCCAUGCCGCGUGUGUGAAGGAGGCCCUCGGGUUGUAAAGCACUUUCAGUGAGGAAGAACGCCUGGUGGUUAAUACCCAUCAGGAAAGACAUCACUCACAGAAGAAGCACCGGCUAACUCCGUGCCAGCAGCCGCGGUAAUACGGAGGGUGCGAGCGUUAAUCGGAAUUACUGGGCGUAAAGCGCGCGUAGGUGGCUUGAUAAGCCGGUUGUGAAAGCCCCGGGCUCAACCUGGGAACGGCAUCCGGAACUGUCAAGCUAGAGUGCAGGAGAGGAAGGUAGAAUUCCCGGUGUAGCGGUGAAAUGCGUAGAGAUCGGGAGGAAUACCAGUGGCGAAGGCGGCCUUCUGGACUGACACUGACACUGAGGUGCGAAAGCGUGGGUAGCAAACAGGAUUAGAUACCCCAGUAGUC
rnacentral:rRNA from 1 species